UACAGAGACUGCGAGCGUUAUUCGGAUUCACUGGGCGUAAAGGGUGCGCAGGCGGCCAAGUGUGUGAGGCGUGAAAGCCCGGGGCUUAACCCCGGAAUUGCACCUCAAACUACAUGGCUAGAGCAUUGGAGAGGGAAGCGGAAUUCACGGUGUAGCAGUGAAAUGCGUAGAUAUCUGGAGGAACACCGGUGGCGAAGGCGGCAUCCUGGACCAACACUGACACUGAUGAGCGAAAGCCAGGGGAGCAAACGGG
rnacentral:rRNA from 1 species